ACGGAUUCCGCCAAGUUCCUGGCUGGCAAGCGCCUGAGUGGGACGCGAGAGCAGGGAGCGCACGGGAUAAGAGUUGUUGUGGUGGGCAGAUUUGGCCAGAUUCCUGGGGAAGUCGACCUGCGGGAAAGGAAAGGUUGCUGUGAGGAUCACCAUGUUCCGGAUCACCACCACGAGGUCUGCAGCAGGUGCACCCUCCUCACUCCAAUGCUCUCCCAACUAGAAAAGGUUUAAUUCCACCCAUCAGCAGCUUCCAACCUAAAAUUGAGUCCUAACUGUCGUUCUAGACAUGAGUGAAGCUGCGGAUCAUGGGUCCUGUGGAAGGCAGCAAGGGUCCCAGCCCAGCAGAGCACGCUCACCUGGCGAGCUGUGACCUGCUGCAGUGCGUUCUGGCACUUGGCGA